GCUCUCAUCGUCUAGUUGGUCAGGACACAUGGUUCUCAUCCAUGAAACCCGGGUUCAAAUCCCGGUGAGAGCGCAA
rnacentral:tRNA from 1 species